rnacentral:rRNA from 1 species
AGGGUGUAAACGCUGCAGACUUGGUGUUGGGAGUCCUUUGGGGGCAUUCAGUGCCGGAGAGAAGUUGUUAAGUCUGCUACUUGGGGAGUACGUCCGCAAGGAUGAAACUUAAAGGAAUUGGCGGGGGGAGGCACCGCAACGGGAGGAGCGUGCGGUUUAAUUGGAUUCAACACCGUAAAACUCACCAGGGAAGACUGUUACAUGAAAGCCGAGAUGAAGACUCUGCUAGAUUUUCAGAGAGGAGGUGCAUGGCGUCAGUGACU